GAUGAACGCUGGCGGCGUGCCUAAUACAUGCAAGUCGAGCGAACAGAUGAGGAGCUUGCUCCUCUGACGUUAGCGGCGGACGUGUGAGUAACACGUGGAUAACCUACCUAUAAGACUGGGAUAACUUCGGGAAACCGGAGCUAAUACCGGAUAAUAUAUUGAACCGCAUGGUUCAAUAGUGAAAGACGGUUUUGCUGUCACUUAUAGAUGGAUCCGCGCCGCAUUAGCUAGUUGGUAAGGUAACGGCUUACCAAGGCAACGAUGCGUAGCCGACCUGAGAGGGUGAUCGGCCACACUGGAACUGAGACACGGUCCAGACUCCUACGGGAGGCAGCAGUAGGGAAUCCUCCGCAAUGGGCGAAAGCCUGACGGAGCAACGCCGCGUGAGUGAUGAAGGUCUUCGGAUCGUAAAACUCUGUUAUUAGGGAAGAACAAAUGUGUAAGUAACUAUGCACGUCUUGACGGUACCUAAUCAGAAAGCCACGGCUAACUACGUG
rnacentral:rRNA from 1 species